rnacentral:rRNA from 1 species
GAUGAACGCUGGCGGCGUGCGUAACACAUGCAAGUUGUACGACGGUGCCAUGAAGUGGGUAACACGGAAUGGUAUACGGAGUAGCGGACGGGUGAGUAAAGCAUGAGGAGCUGUCCUGUUGAGGGGGAUAACGUUCGGAAACGGACCCUAAUACCCCAUAGGCCGAGAGGUUAAAGGCAGAGAUGCGCGACAGGAGGUACUCGUGUCCUAUCAGCUGGUUGGUGAGGUAACGGCUCACCAAGGCAACGACGGGUAGCCGGCCUGAGAGGGUGACCGGCCACACUGGAACUGAGACACGGUCCAGACUCCUACGGGAGGCAGCAGUGGGGAAUAUUGGGCAAUGGGAGAAAUCCUGACCCAGCGACGCCGCGUGAACGAAGACGGCCUUCGGGUUGUAAAGUUCUUUUAUGUGGGAAGAAGGAAGUGACGGUACCACAUGAAUAAGCCCCGGCUAACUACGUGCCAGCAGCCGCGGUAAUACGUAGGGGGCGAGCGUUGUCCGGAAUUACUGGGCGUAAAGGGCACGCAGGCUGUGCUUCAAGUCAGCUGUAAAAGGAGUGCGGCUUAACCGUGUUAUGCAGUUGAGACUGAGGUGCUGGAGUACCGGAGAGGCAAGUGGAAUUCCCAGUGUAGCGGUGAAAUGCGUAGAUAUUGGGAAGAACAUCGGUGGCGGAGGCGACUUGCUGGACGGUAACUGACGCUGAGGUGCGAAAGCCAGGGUAGCGAACGGGAUUAGAUACCCCGGUAGUCCUGGCCGUAAACGAUGAAUGCUAGGUGUGCGAGCAGAGAUGUUGGUGUGCCGCAGUCAACGCGAUAAGCAUUCCGCCUGGGGAGUACGGUCGCAAGAUUGAAACUCAAAGGAAUUGACGGGGCCCGCACAAGCGGUGGAGCACGUGGUUUAAUUCG